UAGUACCACAGGGAUUUCUAACUAAAGUGGGUAACAAGUGGGUAAGGGUAGGCUAUGCGUGACAAUGCUAAAGGCCCGCCCCUCUGCUUUCGUGCACUGCGAAGUAGUUGCCGUGCGUGAAACAACUCCGUUAGGGACGAACGUUUUCACAAGUGAACUUGACGCUUUUUGGAUUCAUCAAUGAGCUCGUCCAGGCACUUGUAGCUGUUUGGAGUGAAGACCGGACUGGGAGACCGCUACCAGGAAAACGACCCGUUUUUUCUUCCAGUCGGGAUUCAACAUGAAAUUCUGGAUUUGUGUACUUGCUGUCAGCUGGGCAGUUGAAGCGACACACGGGGUAAGUGCUACCUUACUACUCAUAGUUAAGGGCUCUCGACUCGAGUGUGCGCAUGUAACCUUCAAUCAACUGAUGAGGCUACAGCC